UACGUAGGGUGCAAGCGUUGUCCGGAAUUAUUGGGCGUAAAGGGCUCGUAGGCGGUCCAUCACGUCGGGAGUGAAAAGCUGGGGCUUAACCCCAGUCCUGCUUCCGAUACGGGUGGACUAGAGGUAGGUAGGGGAGAACGGAAUUCCUGGUGUAGCGGUGAAAUGCGCAGAUAUCAGGAGGAACACCGGUGGCGAAGGCGGUUCUCCGGGCCUUACCUGACGCUGAGGAGCGAAAGCGUGGGGAGCAAACAGG
rnacentral:rRNA from 1 species